UAACCCUGGUUAAGGAACUCGGCAAAUUUACACCGUAACUUCGGGAGAAGGUGUGCCGCUGGCGGUUAGUGACUUCGCGUCACGAAGCUGUCGGUGGUCGCAGUGAAAUGGCGGUUGUGACUGUUUACUAAAAGCACAGGACUCUGCGAAGUCGUAAGACGACGUAUAGGGUCUGAUGCCUGCCCGGUGCUGGAAGGUUAAGGGGAUAUGUCAGCGCAAGCGAAGCAUUGAACCGAAGCCCCAGUAAACGGCGGCCGUAACAAUAACGGCCCUAAGGUAGCGAAAUUCCUUGUCGGGUAAGUUCCGACCUGCACGAGGGCAUAACAACAUCCGCACUGUCUCGACCAGGGACUCAGCGAAAUUACAUUGGGGGUGAAGAUGCCCUCUACCCGCGGAAAGACGGAAAGACCCCAUGAACCUUUACUGCAACUUGGCAGUGAUUUUCGGGUUGUUCUGCGUAGGAUAGGUGGGAGGCUUUGAAGUCGGGCUUCCGGGUUCGACUGAGCCAACGUUGAAAUACCACCCUGAAUAAUCUGGAAAUCUAACCUGCGCCCAUGAUCUGGGCGAGGGACACUGCCUGGUGGGCAGUUUGACUGGGGCGGUCGCCUCCUAAAUUGUAACGGAGGCGUGCGACGGUUCCCUCAGGCUGAUUGGAAACCAGCCGUAGAGUGCAAACGCAUAAGGGAGCUUUACUGCGAGACUGACAAGUCGAACAGUUGCGAAAGCAGGUGUUAGUGAUCCGGUGGUACCACAUGGUAGGGCCAUCGCUCAUCGGAUAAAAGGUACUCUGGGGAUAACAGGCUGAUCGCGCCUGAGAGUUCACAUCGGCGGCGCGGUUUGGCACCUCGAUGUCGGCUCAUCGCAUCCUGGGGCUGGAGCAGGUCCCAAGGGUUUGGCUGUUCGCCAAUUAAAGCGGUACGCGAGCUGGGUUUAAAACGUCGCGAGACAGUUUGGUCCCUAUCUUCCGUGGGCGCAGGACACUUGAGAGGAGCUAUCCAUAGUACGAGAGGACCUGGAUGGACGAACCUCUGGUGCUCCGGUUGUCACGCCAGUGGCAUAGCCGGGUAGCCAUGUUCGGAACAGAUAACCGCUGAAGGCAUAUAAGCGGGAAGCUGGCCUCAAGACUAGGUGUCCCUGACGCAAGUCACUAAAGGCCCCUCGAAGACUACGAGGUUGAUAGGCUCGGUGUGGAAGCGCUGCAAGGCGCGGAGCUAACGAGUACUAAUAGGCCGUGCGACUUGACCUC
rnacentral:rRNA from 1 species